AACGAACGCUGGCGGCAUGCCUAACACAUGCAAGUCGAACGAGACCUUCGGGUCUAGUGGCGCACGGGUGCGUAACGCGUGGGAACCUGCCCUUAGGUUCGGAAUACCUCCCCGACAGGGGUGCUAAUACCGGAUAAUGUCUUCGGACCAAAGAUUUAUCGCCUUUGGAUGGGCCCGCGUUGGAUUAGCUAGUUGGUAGGGUAAAAGCCUACCAAGGCGACGAUCCAUAGCUGGUCUGAGAGGAUGAUCCGCCACACUGGGACUGGGACACGGCGCAGACUCCUACGGGAGGCAGCAGUGGGGAAUAUUGGACAAUGGGCGGAAGCCUGAUCCAGCAAUGCCGCGUGAGUGAUGAAGGCCUUAGGGUUGUAAAGCUCUUUUACCCGGGAUGAUAAUGACAGUACCGGGAGAAUAAGCACCGGCUAACUCCGUG
rnacentral:rRNA from 1 species